CCUACGGGAGGCAGCAGUAGGGAAUUUUGCUCAAUGGGGGAAACCCUGAAGCAGCAACGCCGCGUGGAGGAUGAAGGUUUUAGGAUUGUAAACUCCUUUUGUUAGAGAAGAUUAUGACGGUAUCUAACGAAUAAGCACCGGCUAACUCCGUGCCAGCAGCCGCGGUAAUACGGAGGGUGCAAGCGUUACUCGGAAUCACUGGGCGUAAAGAGGGCGUAGGCGGGGUAAUAAGUCAGGGGUGAAAGCCUGUAGCCGAACUACAGAACUGCAUUUGAAACUGUUACUCUGGAGUGUGGGAGAGGUAGGUGGAAUUCUUGGUGUAGGGGUAAAAUCCGUAGAGAUCAAGAGGAAUACUCAUGGCGAAGGCGACCUGCUGGAACAUUACUGACGCUGAGGCACGAAAGCGUGGGGAGCAAACAGGAUUAGAUACCCCAGUAGUC
rnacentral:rRNA from 1 species